rnacentral:lncRNA from 1 species
UGUUUGUAAGCUGGAUCACUUCAAGAUGGGCGGACUGGGAAACCAGGGGAUCAGAAGAGAGCGAGAUGAUGUGGUCACAGACGCCAGAGAGAGUUUUACACACGUGAAGAAUUUUAUUCUCUGUUUCAUAUACUGUGCAAUCCUGUUGUACAAUUGUUGUCAGCUCCAGACAGAGUUGUAUUACAUUAUUUCUUGUCACUGAGUAAUCUGUCACAGCAGCAAAAGGUGAUCUGUCCAACCAAGCCAGGAGACUUUUAGCAGCUCCAAUGAGAUCCACUACGGACGUCAGAAAAUCAUUUGGUAAUUUGCGGCUGGUCCUUCCAUCGUAGUGACCACUCCUCCUCCUCCCAGUGAUGAAGUUCUGCAGAUUUUUGGCAGAUGCAUUCAGUUUGUG